GUGCUCACUUUGGCAGCACAUAUACUAAAAUUGAGAUGAUAUAGAGAUUAGCAUGGCCCCUGUGUAAGGAUGACACACAAAUUUGUGAAGUAUUCUAUAUUUUU